UAUACCUGAAAGUUACCAGCCCACAACAUAAUUCACUGGCCCGAAAUUUGAAUGUAGAAACUAAACAAAAGAUUUCCAAGAGGUAAAAUACCAUAAAAAACAAAUGACCCCAUGAAAAAUCACUAGCCGGUUGGGCCGGUGACUCUGGAGAUUUACUGGCCAGACUCGAUUUUUACUAGUCACGGGCUAGUGGGCCAGUGGCUAUUUCGCACACUGCUCCUACGACAAGAAUGGUUGUUGAACACCAAUUCUAACCCGGAUCUUCAAGGGUCACAAGAAUGUACAAUAUAGGUACAUAAAUGUACAAGAAUGUACAAUAUAGGUACAUGAAUAUACAAUAUAGGUACAAGAAUGUA